rnacentral:rRNA from 1 species
AUGGGAUCGGAGGCGGACUCGGCGGAGAUGACCGGGCCCCUCCUUGCCGGCGUUCCGGCGGCGGUGGAGGCGGUGCCGCCGUGGCGGGAGCAGCUGACGGUUCGGGCAAUAGUGGUGAGCGCCAUCCUGGGGGUGCUCUUCUGCCUUGUCACGCACAAACUCAACCUCACGGUGGGGAUCGUCCCGUCGCUCAGCGUUGCCGCGGGGCUGCUCGGUUACGUCCUCGUGCGGACCUGGACGGCGGUGCUCGGCAUGUUCGGCGUCGUCUCCAAGCCCUUCACCAAGCAGGAGAACACCGUCAUCCAGACCUGCGUCGUCGCCUGCUAUGGCCUCGCCAUCAGCGGGGGAUUCGGAUCGUAUAUGCUUGCAAUGGAUCAAAAAACUUAUGAGCUUAUCGGGACUGAUUAUCCCGGUAACACGGCAGUGGAUGUGAAGAAUCUCUCGCUGAGUUGGAUGAUCGGGUUUAUGUUUCUAGUUAGCUUCAUUGGUAUUUUUAGUCUCGUUGCUCUGCGCAAGGUGAUGGUGAUUGAUUACAAGCUAACAUAUCCUAGUGGAACUGCCACUGCAAUGUUGAUAAAUAGCGUCCACACUACUACUGAAGUUGAACUUGUGGAAAAACAAAUUAGCUGUCUUGGAAAGUAUUUAAGCAUAAGUUUUCUUUGGAACUGCUUUAAGUGGUUCUUCAGUGGUGUUGGGGACUCAUGUGGCUUCGACAAUUUCCCUUCACUCGGCCUUGCAGCAUUUAAGAACACGUUUUAUUUUGACUUCAGUCCAACCUAUAUUGGAUGUGGCCUUAUAUGUCCGCAUAUUGUUAGCUGCUCUGCACUUAUUGGAGCUAUCAUAUCUUGGGGUUUUCUAUGGCCAUAUAUAUCCACAAAAGCUGGGGAUUGGUAUCCAGCUGAGCUCGAAAGCAAUGACUUCAAAGGACUCUAUGGGUACAAGGUUUUUGUAUCCAUAUCCCUGAUACUUGGGGAUGGUAUUUAUAACCUCGUCAAAAUCAUUUAUUCUACAAUCAAGGAAACAAUGAAUGCACGAUCAAACCAAGGAAGGCUUCCCCUUGUUUGGGUUCAGGAAGGUGAUAAAAUUUCCAAAUUACCAGCCAAGGAAAAGCUGCUAAAUGAGGUGUUUGUAAAAGACAAUAUCCCUCCUUGGUUGGCAGCAUCUGCUUAUGUGGGCCUUGCAGCAAUUUCAACUGCAAUUGUACCGAUAAUGUUCUCACAACUCAAGUGGUACCUUGUCCUCUCUGCCUAUGUUGUUGCUCCUCUACUCGCCUUCUGCAACUCAUACAACACCGGCCUAACAAACUGGAGCAUUGCAUCCACAUAUGGAAAGAUUGGUCUUUUCAUUUUUGCCUCAUGGGUUGGCCAUCAUGGUGGUGUGAUUGCAGGCUUAGCAGCGUGUGGUGUUAUGAUGUCCAUAGUAUCCACAGCUGGAGAUCUCAUGCAGGACAUCAAGACUGGGUACCUUACCCUCUCUUCGCCAAGGUCUAUGUUUGUGUCACAGUUGAUUGGAACUGCCCUUGGUUGUGUCAUUGCUCCCCUCACCUUUUGGCUUUACUGGGUGGCCUUCGAUAUUGGAAAUCCUGAUGGCAUGUUCAAAGCUCCAUAUGCUGCUAUCUACCGUGAGAUGUCAAUCAUGGGUGUCGAGGGAUUCUCAGUGCUGCCACAAAAUUGCCUAGCAAUCUGCUUUGUCUUCUUCUUUGUAGCCAUAGCAUUCAACCUCAUGCGAGACAUCACCCCAAAAAGCAUGUCCAAAUUCAUCCCACUCCCUAUGGCCAUGGCUGUUCCAUUUUACAUUGGGGCAUACUUUGCGAUUGACAUGUUUGUUGGGACUGUCAUCUUGUUUGUCUGGGAGAGGGUGAACCGUAAGGAGUCCGAGGACUUUGCAGGUGCGGUUGCUUCUGGUUUGAUAUGUGGUGAUGGUAUGUGGAGUGUACCUUCUGCGAUGCUGUCCAUCAUGAGGAUCGAUCCACCGAUGUGCAUGUACAUCAAGCCAUCCCUUACAUACGGCUAA